rnacentral:rRNA from 1 species
GACGAACGCUGGCGGCGUGCUUAACACAUGCAAGUCGAACGGAAAGGCCCUGCUUUUGUGGGGUGCUCGAGUGGCGAACGGGUGAGUAACACGUGAGUAACCUGCCCUUGACUUUGGGAUAACUUCAGGAAACUGGGGCUAAUACCGGAUAGGAGCUCCUGCUGCAUGGUGGGGGUUGGAAAGUUUCGGCGGUUGGGGAUGGACUCGCGGCUUAUCAGCUUGUUGGUGGGGUAGUGGCUUACCAAGGCUUUGACGGGUAGCCGGCCUGAGAGGGUGACCGGCCACAGUGGCGCGGGGGUGGCGCGCAGGCGCCGGGGGGGGGGGGGGGUGGGGUGGAGUGGACGAGGCGCGUGAGCCUGCUGCCGCGAGGCGGGGGGGGGGAGGACGGCCUGGGGGUGGUACACCGCGUUGGCGUGUGGCGAUGGGGGGGUGACGGUCGUGGGUAAAGACGAGCCGGCGAACUACGUGCCAGCGGCGGCGCGAAUAAGCGGAAGGGCCUCCGUCUGACC